AGCUCAACCUCUGAGGGGAGGAAAUUCACCAUUCACCAUGUCUUCAGGCAGAGUCCAGCAAAGCAGCUUCCACUGGAAAUCCUCAGUGAGGUUAUUUGGUCAGCGGGUGACUCUGCAUAUUUGACACUUUCUCUGGUUUGCAGAUGGUUUAGGGAUGUGCUCCGAAGUUUUUCGGAAAGCGGCACAGUUUGUCUGGCUAGACAUUGUGGCCAACUGGAAGAAUUGUCCUCCUGUCUACUGACCGGAACGAGUUCAGACGGAUGUACUGCAUCAGGGAAUGCUUGCAGUGCAGAGCCCUUUUCAAGUUUAACCCACCAGGGUACAGGGAAGAGAUCGGCGUGGUGAUCUUCUGG